AUUUUAUGUUGGCUUAUGAGUUUGAAAUUUUAUACUAUUUAAAUCUAUUUUAACUCACCUUGUUACACCCACACCCUCGUCGGCUUUAUUUUCUUCCUCUUCAGGAUUAGAUCUGUUGUAGAUCACAGCUCCUGCUGCCCCCUUCUCUUUCUAAGUCUUCUUCCCUCUUCCUCCCAGCUGGGUUUACCAGCCCUUCUGGGUGGGUCCUCCCUGCAGUCUGAGGGCUGAACUUCCUCUCCCCCUGGUCUCCUCCUUCCCAGCAAGUGGAGGAUGUGGCUAGGCUGCUCAGCUGGCCAAAGUCCCUGCCUGUGAAGCCCUGCAGAGUGCUGGCUUCCUCUUUCCCAGGAGAAGCUCGGUGGAGGGGUGUGAAGACGUGUCUGCAAGCCACGCUCAGGAAAGCAGGCGAUGGCUGUUUAGCAUCCGCUAACUAAUAGCCUUGGCCAGACUCUUUCGGCUCCUGGCUGUUUCGCAGAAAUAAAAACCAGCUUCUUUCUCCCUG